rnacentral:rRNA from 1 species
GAUGAACGCUGGCGGCGUGCCUAAUACAUGCAAGUCGAGCGAACGGACGAGAAGCUUGCUCCUCUGAUGUUAGCGGCGGACGGGCGAGUAACACGUGGAUAACCUACCUAUAAGUCUGGGAUAACUUCGGGAAACCGGAGCUAAUACCGGAUGAUAUUUUGAACCGCAUGGUUCAAAAGUGAUAGACGGUCUUGCUGUCACUUAUAGAUGGAUCCGCGCUGCAUUAGCUAGUUGGUAAGGUAACGGCUUACCAAGGCAACGAUGCAUAGCCGACCUGAGAGGGUGAUCGGCCACACUGGAACUGAGACACGGUCCAGACUCCUACGGGAGGCAGCAGUAGGGAAUCUUCCACAAUGGGCGAAAGCCUGACGGAGCAACGCCGCGUGAGUGAUGAAGGUCUUCGGAUCGUAAAACUCUGUUAUUAGGGAAGAACAUAUGUGUAAGUAACUGUGCACAUCUUGACGGUACCUAAUCAGAAAGCCACGGCUAACUACGUG